CUGGUUUACUCGAUCCUGAGAGAUGAGGUAACCCUAUAUGAAGUGCGCACUCGCGCAGCUCAUCGAAACGGAAAUGGGUUAAAAAUCCAGUACCUACUCCCAAAUAUAAAUGGUAAGCGAUUUCG
rnacentral:rRNA from 10 species